UACGGGGGGAGCAAGCGUUGUUCGGAUUUACUGGGCGUAAAGGGCGCGUAGGCGGCCUUCUAAGUCAGACGUGAAAUCCCUCGGCUCAACCGGGGAACUGCGUCUGAUACUGGGAGGCUUGAAUCCGGGAGAGGAAUGCGGAAUUCCAGGUGUAGCGGUGAAAUGCGUAGAUAUCUGGAGGAACACCGGUGGCGAAGGCGGCAUUCUGGACCGGCAUUGACGCUGAGGCGCGAAAGCCAGGGGAGCAAACGGG
rnacentral:rRNA from 1 species